AGGUUAAAAUGCGGAAGCGGAUGCGAAACGGUGCGGAUCCACGGAACGGAUAUGGAGAUAAAAUGCGGAACGGAACGGAUUUGGAUAAAUCCUCUUUUUUUACGUUUCCGUGUUUUAGAUUUAUGUUUUUUUUGUAAUGGAAUACAACGUCGUAGUGCUUAUUACACGCUGGUUAUAUUCAGCGAAUUUUCUCCCAAUACCGCAGGCUCGCAUUUUCAGCGGAAUUGCGGUGAAAAAUUGAAAGUUUUGCAUUUUGCACAGAACUGGCUACUUUCUGUAAGAUGUCCGCUGACAAUACAAGCCCGCACAAGUGGGAGUACUUUUGCUAAAUU